ensembl:lncRNA
GCACAUUGCACCUUCAAGCUAACCACUGCAUAAUAUUGCCCACACAUUAGGCAUGUACCUUUUAAUUACCUUGGGGAUAGUUUUUACCUUUCACUAAGAAAACCGAGGCUCUAUGGAUCGCGCUAACCUUCUCAAGGUCACAUAAUGAGACAGGGGUUAUUGUAUCCGGGAGCCUGACAGGUGCUCUUUUCACGGACACCGGCUGGGUCUCUCGGGAAGUUGCUGAUGAUGACAGCGAUGAGCUCACCUGACAGACUGCUCUUUCUCCCUCUUCGGAGACUCACUUCCACACCAGGAAGAACCCGGAGCAGUGACUCACAGUUCCCGGCAUCAGUGCCAGAGUGUGUGCUGCCGUUCUGACCGUGAGUGUGAUGAUCAUGCCAGGGAGUCAGAUGUCUGCUGGAUUUAGAAAAGGGCCGAAGGUCAUAAAGGGAAACAACAAACCUAAGGGCUGCCGGGAGUUCUGUAGCUCUUGCAGCAUCUCUUCCCCACCCUUCUUCCCAGCAGAGGAAGCUACCAGAGGAGGAAGGACAGCAAGGAGAGGAAAACUUAUGAUUAUUAGGAGUUGGCAGGAGCUAUCAAAGGCCCAAAAACCAAUCGACAGUUAAGUACCAAGCCAGGCAUCAUGGCUCUCACACCUAUAAACCUAGUACUUAAGAGACUGAGACAAGAGAAUUGCUGCAAGUUCCAGACCAAUCUGGCCUACAUCGUGAGAUGAAAAGAAAAUGGAAAAGUGAAC